GGAAGGGGCGGGGAAUGGGGCGGGGUCAGGCGGCUCUGGGGGAUUCCUCCGGAAUCGCGAAGGGGCCGGAUGCGGGGGCGAGGCUGUGGUGAAGGCGCUGGCCACAGAAAGGGGAAGAAAGAGAUAAGACUAUGAGACAGAAAGAGAACCUGGGGAGGGAGGGACAGAGACCCCGACCGGAAGAGACCAGGGAGCCAAAAGCCAAAACAGACCAACCACGUGUUUCUGCACGGGCCCCUUCCUCCUUCUGGGGCUCAGUUUACCCACCUGGGUCAUAGAAAUUUAGGCAGAAGGAUGUUUCUCAAACUACGGCCUCGGGGAACCCUUUAUAAAUGCAGAUUCCAGCUAGGUGUGGUGGCUCACGCCUGGAAUCCCAGCACUUUGAGAUCCCUUUAAUCCAGCAGUUUGCAACCAGCCUGGGCAGCAUAGGGAGACCCUGUCUCUACAGAAAAAUAAAAAUAAAAAAUAAAUUUAAAAAGUUAAAAAUACAGAUUCCUGUGCCACCAGAAGGGAUGAGUCUAACCCAGGAAGCCAGACGACACAUUGUUGAGGGCCUGUCGCAUAUCCUGAGCUGCACACCGGAUUCGGGAAGACCGUGGCGCGGGCCUCAGGAGGCAAAAACACAAAGUCUCAUUUUGUCAUCCAGGCUGGAGUGCAGUGGUGCAAUCACAGCUCACUUCGACCUCAACUUACUGGGCUCAAGCAAUCCUCUCACCUCGCCCUCCCAAGUAGCUGGAAUCACAGGUGUACACCACCAUGCUUCGCUAAUUAAAAAAAAAUUUUUUUGA